rnacentral:rRNA from 1 species
AGUGAACGCUGGCGAUAGGCCUAACACAUGCAAGUCGAACGGCAGCACAGUAAGAGCUUGCUCUUACGGGUGGCGAGUGGCGGGCGGGUGAGGAAUACAUCGGAAUCUACUUUUUCGUGGGGGAUAACGUAGGGAAACUUACGCUAAUACCGCAUACGACCUACGGGUGAAAGCAGGGGAUCUUCGGACCUUGCGCGAUUGAAUGAGCCGAUGUCGGAUUAGCUAGUUGGCGGGGUAAAGGCCCACCAAGGCGACGAUCCGUAGCUGGUCUGAGAGGAUGAUGAGCCACAGUGGAACUGAGACACGGGCAAGACUCCUACGGGAGGCAGCAGUGGGGAAUAUUGGACAAUGGGCGCAAGCCUGAUCCAGCCAUACCGCGUGGGUGAAGAAGGCCUUCGGGUUGUAAAGCCCUUUUGCUGGGAAAGAAAAGCAGCAGGUUAAUACCCCGCUGUGCUGACGGUACCCAAAGAAUAAGCACCGGCUAACUUCGUG